rnacentral:rRNA from 1 species
ACGAACGCUGGCGGCGUGCUUAACACAUGCCAGUCGAACGGAAAGGCCCUGCUUUUGUGGGGUGCUCGAGUGGCGAACGGGUGAGUAACACGUGAGUAACCUGCCCUUGACUUUGGGAUAACUUCAGGAAACUGGGGCUAAUACCGGGUAGGAGCUCCUGCUGCAUGGUGGGGGUUGGAAAGUUUCGGCGGUUGGGGAUGGACUCGCGGCUUAUCAGCUUGUUGGUGGGGUAGUGGCUUACCAAGGCUUUGACGGGUAGCCGGCCUGAGAGGGUGACCGGCCACAUUGGGACUGAGAUACGGCCCAGACUCCUACGGGAGGCAGCAGUGGGGAAUAUUGCACAAUGGGCGGAAGCCUGAUGCAGCAACGCCGCGUGCGGGAUGACGGCCUUCGGGUUGUAAACCGCUUUCGCCUGUGACGAAGCGUGAGUGACGGUAAUGGGUAAAGAAGCACCGGCUAACUAC